UUUCAGGCGGGCAGUUCGACUGGGGCGGUCGCCUCCUAAACGGUAACGGAGGCGUACAAAGGUUUCCUCUGAACGAAUAGAAAUCGUAUCUAGAGUAUAAAGGCAUAAGGAGGCUUGACUGUGAGACCUACAAGUCGAGCAGGGACGAAAGUCGGUCUUAGUGAUCUGACGGUACCGAGUGGAAAGGCCGUCACUCAACGGAUAAAAGUUACUCUAGGGAUAACA
rnacentral:rRNA from 1 species